AACAGGAAUGGAGCAAAAGGGUGAUUUUUUUGGAGGGUCUGAUCGUUGUUGUUCUGCUUGAUUACCACAACAAUAGGGUUGCUCCCUCCUGCAAAGCCAUAUAAUAAAAGGUGAAGAGCGGCGGUAGGGAACCACGCCUACGAGCAUGCUCAUGGUGGUACCUAGAUCCCAGCAAUGCAUGGUUACGGAUGUCCUCAGCCAGAGCUAGGCUUCCUUGUCGAUGACUUGCGAUCUACAGCAUCUGUGCAGGAUUGUUGCUUGGUUGGAUAUAGAAACAAAUGAAGAUGUGGAAAGGAUUCUUGAGGGGAACAGUUCAUCACGGGGCGCUAUUUCCAGGGCCAAAUUGCGGUGUUGGUGUUGCUUCACAGGUUUGGUACAAGAAGUGAGGAUAGGAAGUGGCUUGUUCGGUUGGGUAUGUCUAAACUAAAGGAGUUGUAAGUGACCCUGCAAUAUGUAAUUUUGGCCAUGUCAAGAUUGUCUCAACUAAUGACUGAACUUUAUCUUGUCAUUUUGCAGCUUGGAUUUUCCAUUAAGCUUGGUGAAGUAUAUUAUGUUAGUGGACGAACAGAAUACCAUGGAUGUCUUUGCUACUUUGGAGGCAAUUCUUUUUGUGGGUUCACCUCUUGUGAUUAUCUAUAUGAGACAUGCGUAGUAUUUUGGUAGAUCCAAUUGUUACAGAAAAAAAGGAUAUUUUGGCAGUAUUUCUUCAGCUCCAUUGAAUAGCAAGGCGUCGGUGUAGGCCUGCAACGGCGGUGACAGAAGGAAGACUGUGAUUGAUCUUGAGAUUGCCUUGACCCCUGUGUCGUUUCGGCUGCUGAAUAGAAGAGCUCUAUCUUGAGAAUUCAAGGACCCCUGGGUUGAUGAGGACUCGGCCAGGGAAUGCAUUCGUUGCUGGAAGCUACUAUUUAACAGGGACACAAGUAACAACAGGAUUCCACAUGUGAAUAAGGAUUGGAACGUGAAUGUCGACGCGAGCUCAAUACACUAUGAUCUGACCAUCUACAACAUCCAACCGUGUUUGACCCUUCCAGGUUCAAUCUGCAGAACAUGCGCGAGAAAAAUAAUCCAGGAAAAAGAAGUGCUUAACAUUGUUCUAACAGCAACUCAGCCAAUUUUACAAUACCUGGCUGGCUCAUCAGAUCCCAAGCAACUCCCCUUCAUUUUAGCCGGGAACAAGGUUUAUGUAGACACUGGAAGAAGACGAGUGGAAAAAAUGAAAGAGAAAAGAGAAUGGGCAAUUAUGACAGAAGCACGGACAUCGUGAAUCAAUGCAUAAGGCAGGUUGUAUCACUUUUCUUGAUCUGGUUGAUGGUUAGUAUUCUCUUGUUAGAAGUCGCAUCUUUGAUGUCGGGGCCUGGGAUUUUUUUUUAAUAUGCUAAUGGUCAGCCUGGAAGUCCGUGACAUGUUUUCAUAGACUGUGGUAGACCAGUUAUUAAGUGGCAUACUUUCUUCCUUGGUUUCUAUUUUAGUUCUCAGAUGUCCUCAAUAUUGCUUUGCUUCGCCAUAUCGGCUCACACUCUUGAUGCUCGAAAGCUAUUAUUUCAAAACUAUGCUCUAUCUUCAAAAGUUCGGAUGUUUGUUUAUGCUUUCUGUUUCUUCUGUUUUGGCAGGAAGCUAUUUUAAUCGUUUCUUUUGCAACAACAAGUUAAAAACUUUGUUCUUUAUAAAAUUGACCAGGAUUUGUAAACCAAUACAUUAUUAACAGUAGUUGGUGGGACCUGAAAUGUAGUAUACCUAAUU